rfam:Schistosoma mansoni strain Puerto Rico chromosome 3, complete genome
AUCCAGCUGAUAAAUCCCAAAUGGGAUGAAACGCGCGUCCUGGAU